rnacentral:tRNA from 1 species
UGGCUCAGAUGGUAAAGUGCCUGCCUGCAAUGCAGAAGAUCCAGGGUUCAAUCCCUG